rnacentral:rRNA from 1 species
CCCUUAGAUGUUCUGGGCCGCACGCGCGCUACACUGUUUGAUUCAGCGAGUCUUAACCUUGACCGAAAGGUUUGGGUAAUCUUCUAAAGUCAAACGUGCUGGGGAUCGAUCAUUGCAAUUAUUGAUCGUGAACGAGGAAUUCCUAGUAAAUGCAAGUCAUCAGCUUGCGUUGAUUACGUCCCUGCCCUUUGUACACACCGCCCGUCGCUACUACCGAUUGAAUGGUUUAGUGAGAUCUCCGGAUUGGCUCUGUAGGUCCCGCAAGGGAUUUAUUAGUAGCCAAGAAGCUGCUCAAACUUGAUCAUUUAGAGGAAGUAAAAGUCGUAACA